CAGCAGCCUGCAGAACCAUCUUAUCAGGAAUACUUCCAAAGAACUACGCUGGAUAACACAAAGCACAACAGACUACAGUAAUUUUUACUGCUGUCGCCCAUUAUCAGAAAUGGUAUUACAGGAGAGAUGGCUGUAUUGGGUCUUAAUUAAAUGUAACUAAACAGGCUUUCCACUGAACAGAAUGACAAGCUAACAGGUCAGACGUGACACCCAAUUCCAGUUAUCUGCUGUUGCUCUGCUGAAUUCUUGAAUUCAUUUUGCACAUCAUAUUGAAUAACUCUUGAACUUUACAUGUCCAAAUUAAGCCCCUGGUACUCACCCUCGUGCCCAUCACAUACCUGCCAAGUAACGUAUUGUAUCGAGUUUAUUUGAUUCCAUGAGUGUUUUUAAGGAAGCUAUUUCAGUGUCAAUUUUAUUACUGAUCUCUGAAAUAAUGCUGUUGGUACUCGAAUCUUUUUUAUGAAACUCUGUAGUUGCUUCCAUCAACUUCCUCUCUUGAUCUGUAAACAUAUCUGUCACUCUGCUCCUUUCCAGGUUUAUGUCUAGCUUGCUGUCGGCUUGGAUUUUAC
rnacentral:lncRNA from 1 species